CUGACUCUUGCGGCCAGCGUAUUUGGGCGUUGUCUCUUCAUCAGCUGACAGAGGUGAAAUUUUUCCAAAAGCAGGUUCCAAUGCCUAAAAGACAAAAUGCGGGGAAAAUGUUCACAUUUUCAAAGGAUCCCAAAGGCUACAGAAUGAUCAAUACCCAACAUAUCUUCCUUCAGGCUCAUGUGUCUUCAACGGGGAAUGUGGCAACGGAGGAGGAAAAUGUGAUGCUCCUUCUAGUGUUGUCUCUACAACUUGUCUAAGAUUCGAAAUGCAAAUUCCCAACUUCCCCUGUUAUCAGCAGACUGACCUGGAACAGCGUGAUCCUGCAGGUGGGAGGAGGUGUGUUAGGUCUGGAAUGUUUAAUUAUUCCCCGCUCUCCCCUCUGAGGAGGAGGAGGGAGUGAGAAGGGGAGAGGGUUGCUAUGAACGAACCCUUAAUACCAGAUCCAGAGUGGCUCACCCACACAGCCGUGCCCGCGUUCCGAGGGUGCUCAUGCCUCAGCCUUUUAGACGCUCAGUCCCUAAAACUGCGACUACACACAGAUACACCUACGCAAAUUUGAAGUGUGGAAUUCACAUAUCCCGUCCUUUCUUCAAAUCAGGUAUGCUCUUGUGAGCAUAGAUCCUCUUCCUAUAAAUAGCCCCAUGGUGACCAGUACAAUGCACAGAAUCAAAAAAAAAGUUUGGAAAUUCCCCAAGCUCUAACCUCGAAAUAAGAGAACAAUGGAAGCUGUAGGGAGUGUGAAGACUGGACGAGACUUCAUUGGCUCUUGGGGUUACUGUUACGGUAACAUUUCGACCAACAUACAAUGACCCAAAUGGGGCAGUAGAUACUAUUUUUUAGGAACUGGCAUACAGUAUAUGCAGGGAAAAAUCCCUGUGGGUCUUAUGGGUUCUCCUCACAGAAGGUGGACAAUCCCGGCCAGUAUUUGUGGCAAUUUCUCCCUCUCUACCUCUGACGGAGGAACAGCCUGCCCGGCUUCCACUCGUCGUUCGGCAGAAGGACUGGGCACUUUGCUGUGCUGAGAGGAUAAACCCGCUUUCUUUCUGAGGCAGCAGAAGCCAUCUCCACGGAAACAAAACUCUCGCAGAGCUCCCGAAGACUGGGAAUGACUUCCAAGAUUUCCCGUAAUUUCUUGUAGAGGAAUUUGUGGCUGUUCUUGCCAUGCUGGGAGAACCGACCACAGAGCAGGCUCCUCUGGAAUGUAUUCUGUGGGUGCCUCUGUGUGUGUGUGCAUGUGUGUGUGCACACGUGUGUGUUGUAAUCACUGUGUCAUAUCGGAAACAUUCCAAGUCCUGGAAGUACCGAUUUAAAAGUUCACGCAAUAAGUGCAGAUAGGAAAUGUUGGUACUUUUCUUAACCCACUGAGAAAUAUCCCCACUUACAUUUGGAGGGUGUUCACGUGGUUCCGCGUGUCCUGACCUGUACAUAUAAUUUUAAUGAUUCAAGUUGUUUACACCCAUGUGCGGGAGACAGAACCCAGACAAGGCAGUGAUAACACUGGCCACAUUCACACUCUCUUAGGCUCGGUCUUUGAGCCGUGUGAUCAAACUCGAAAGCUCAGUGUUCUAUAAAGGCAGGUGGGUGCUGGGAGGCACCGACUAUUUCAGCAUGAGAAUGCUGGUUCUUCCUUUGGGAUAGAGCAGGGCGGUGAUAUGGGACGGGCGCAGGAAAGUCCUGGGUAGAGAAGGGCAGGUCCCUGGCUAGGGCUCCACCCCCGGGCCUGUGCCCAGGGACCUAGGCAUUUCUGCUGUCGUGCCCAAAUGUAGCAUUUCCAAGACCACCCUGGCCUGCCACACUCCCAUCUUGUGCCUGUGAAGACCCCGAGACCCUAGUGGGCAGAGACACAAGUGGCUGGCAUCGAGAGGAACACACUGGCAGACAUCAGCAAGCCAUUGACUGUCAGAAUGACAGGGAGAUUGAUCAGGGCAGUCAGAGGAGAGCCCGGCGGCUGGGCUGCCCAACUCCAGGUGAAAACCACCUUCCCACUCCAUCUCGGUUCUGGCUCCCCUGUCUGCUGAGAGCUACCAUCACCCAAUAAAAAACCUUGCACCCAUCCUCCAAGCCCACAUGUGAUCUGAUUUUUCAGGUACACCGAGGCAGGAACCCAGGAUACAGAAAGCCCUCCGUCCUAGUGAUGUGCAGAGGGUCUAACUGAGCUGCUAAACACAAGCUGCCUACAGAGAGCUAAACUGAAAGAACGCCCUGUAACACACGCCCACUGGGGCUUCAGCUGUAAACAUUCACCCCUAGACACUGCCGUGGGGUUGGAGCUGCACAGCUGCCCGUCUCUACGCUCCCCUAGAGGUUUGAGCUGUGGGACAAUGAGCAAGCGAGCCACAUCCCCUUCGCACACCCUGGGAGGGGGACAAGGGAACUUUUCCCGUUUCAACAGGUCUCUAUCGCAUUCUACACAGCUGUCCUAGAAGAUGAACAGAAGGACACCGGGCCACUGAGCUGACUCUGGAGUCACCCUGGGUUCAAAUCCCAGCUCCGCAUUCUCCAACCCGUGGCCAUGAUGGAGUUAGUUAUAGGAUCCAUUUCAUAGGGUCGUCGUAGACAGUAAGAUGGUAAAGCUCCCUACCUAGCCCAUGUAAAGUCCACAGUAAGGGUUUGCUGCUGUUGUCCUGAGACAUCAUGGGAUGUCUUAGAAUUCUAGACGUGAGACGCGCAGCCUGGAGGCGGCUGUGCUUCUGUCUGCUGGAGCGUCAGGUGAGAUGCCUGAUGUAUCC
rnacentral:lncRNA from 1 species